GUACGGGAGGCAGCAGUAGGGAAUUUUGGACAAUGGGCGCAAGCCUGAUCCGGCCAUGCCGCGUGUGGGAAGAAGGCCUUCGGGUUGUAAACCACUUUUGUCAGGGAAGAAACGGUUCCUACUAAUAUUAGGAACUAAUGACGGUACCUGGAGAAUAAGCACCGGCUAACUACGUGCCAGCAGCCGCGGUAAUACGUAGGGUGCAAGCGUUAAUCGGAAUUACUGGGCGUAAAGCGUGCGCAGGCGGCUUUGCAAGACAGAUGUGAAAUCCCCGGGCUCAACCUGGGAACUGCAUUUGUGACUGCAUGGCUAGAGUACGGUAGAGGGGGAUGGAAUUCCGCGUGUAGCAGUGAAAUGCGUAGAUAUGCGGAGGAACACCGAUGGCGAAGGCAAUCCCCUGGACCUGUACUGACGCUCAUGCACGAAAGCGUGGGGAGCAAACAGGAUUAGAUACCCUAGUAC
rnacentral:rRNA from 1 species